rnacentral:lncRNA from 1 species
AUGGCUGUGCGUGAUGUGUUCAUCCCCAGGUUGAUAUUUUGGUCUUCUGAGGUGGCCGGCCGCCUUCACAGAGCAGAUCUCAGUGGGGUGGAGGUGAAAACGCUGCUGGAGACACCGGAGAGGAUAGUGGUACUGACUCUGGAUGUACUUGACAAGCGCCUCUUUUGGGUUCAGGACAGCGGAGAAGGAAGACAGGCUCACAUUUGUUCCUGUGAUUAUGACGGUGGCUCCGUCCAUCUUCUCAAACAUCAGACACAGCACGGCUUGUUUACAAUGGCCCUUUUUGGUGACCGUAUCUUCUAUUCAACAUUGAAAACGAAGGCGAUUUGGAUAGCCAACAAACACACGGGGAAGGACAUGGUUAGAAUUAACCUCAAUCCAUCCUUCCUGCCACCUGGAGAACUGAAAGUAGUGCACCCACGUGUACAGCCUGGGACAAAGGACGGUGCUCGGGGCUCUGGUGAGUCGCUGGUUUCCUCAGAAGAAGCUGGCACAUAUUCACUCCCUAUCUACUGGCUCAAGCUAAAAUCUUAGGAAUUGUGUGUAGGGGGAUAAAUUUUUACUCAGCCCUCAUCAGUUCUUAGUUAAAACAUAGUCUUGAAACAAAAGGCAGAUUAAAUGAGGAAAAUAUAGACAUUAGCAUUUCUUUUCGUAUAAAUGAAGGA